rnacentral:lncRNA from 7 species
AGCCCAACUCGCGCAACACUCUCUCCUCCUUCCCAGCAUCCCACCCCACGCACUCCCAGCCGCCAGCCGGCUGCCGGCGAGCGCACGCCAAAUCAUGAAAUCAGGGAGAGACGAGUGCAAUGCUGGGCAUCGGGCACUCGGGCUUGGGCCUCGGCAGUCCUAGGCACCCAAGCGACCAGGUCGCGCGGUCGUGCUCGUGGGCGAGGCGUCGCGCACGGUGACGGCUGACGGCGCACGCGCGAGCAGGCAGCACUGUGCCACCGCAGCAGCCGUCGACCCAGCGUCCAUCCUCCGGUCCUCCCUCCACCACGCCUUCGUCCCUUCACCGCAUCGUCUUCACCUCCCUCGUCGACUCGCUAUCCUCACUCGGCCUCCCUGGCAAACCCUCCUCCAGCGACGCCCAUAUAGUAGGUGCCAGCGUGCGUGCGUGAACAGUGUGGAUUUCUAAAAUGCUCCCGCACAAUCUUUGAAGAUGCCAGAAUAUUAUAUGCAACUCGUUGUCUAUGUAUGUGUGCUCAAUCCUUUGUCAGGGUCUAUGGCUUUACUCAUUACAGACUUAAUCAUCUGCAGUACUCUUUCAGCUGUCUUGUGUGUGUGUGUGUGUGUUUUAGUGAGAUGAUUGUGAUCUGUGAGUACAGAUAGGAUCAGUUGCAUUUAUGGUUGCGUGCUAAACUCAUUUGAGCUAAGUAGCUAACACUAAGAAGUAAAGGUUACACGAUGUUUUAUUUCAGACAGUCGAACUACAUAUGAGUUUUUAGAUUAUGUGAACUGCAUAUGAGGUUUUUAAAUUAUAUGAAUUGUGAACUACAUAUGAGGUUUUAUUUGCAAUGUCCAUUUAAUUAAUUGUUAAC